rnacentral:misc_RNA from 1 species
AAGAUGUCCAGUUGAAACUCUUUUGACUUCUGAAAGCUCAUCCGCAGAAAAGAUGACAUUCUCAUUUUUGUAAGACUGAAAGCGUUUUAGAGGCUCCUGAACUAUAGCACCAGUAUCAGCACAUAUGAAGGUUCUCUCAGUCUUCAAAGGAAGAUUAGUCAUCGAAUCAAGCCAAGUAAUUGUCCCUGGAUUAGUUGGACGGAUCAAAGCAUAGGUGUUAAGUUCGAUAGAUAAUCCAUUAAAAAUUACAAGUCGAAGUCUUCGAACUCUGCGCUUCUUAAACAUGCGUUUCCUAAGCUGGUCGUUCAGAUCUUCAAACCUUUCUCCUAUCAGAGCUUUGAACUGAGCAAGGUCAUCACCCUCCAGACCAAGUAAAUCCUGAAGCCAAAGAUAGCAUAAAAAAGGGAAACGUUGAACUCAUCAUCUGGCCGGCUUAGUGGAAGAAGCUCA